UUGUCUCAAAGAUUAAGCCAUGCAUGUCUCAGUACAAGCCAAAUUAAGGUGAAACCGCGAAAGGCUCAUUAAAUCAGUUAUGGUUCCUUAGAUCGUACACACAUUUACUUGGAUAACUGUGGUAAUUCUAGAGCUAAUACAUGCAAACAGAGCUCCGACCGGAGACGGAAGGAGCGCUUUUAUUAGAUCAAAACCAAUCGGUGGCGGGUUCGCUCGUCAUCGUAUAACUUGGUGACUCUGAAUAACUUUAAGCUGAUCGCACGGUCUAGCACCGGCGACGCAUCUUUCAAAUGUCUGCCUUAUCAACUGUCGAUGGUAGGUUCUGCGCCUACCAUGGUCGUAACGGGUAACGGGGAAUCAGGGUUCGAUUCCGGAGAGGGAGCCUGAGAAACGGCUACCACAUCCAAGGAAGGCAGCAGGCGCGCAAAUUACCCACUCCCGGCACGGGGAGGUAGUGACGAAAAAUAACGAUACGGGACUCAUCCGAGGCCCCGUAAUCGGAAUGAGUACACUCUAAACCCUUUAACGAGGAUCAAUUGGAGGGCAAGUCUGGUGCCAGCAGCCGCGGUAAUUCCAGCUCCAAUAGCGUAUAUUAAAGUUGUUGCGGUUAAAAAGCUCGUAGUCGAAUUUGUGUCCCGCGCCGCCGGUUCAUCGUCCGCGGUGUCAACUGGCGUGUCGCGGGACGUCCUGCCGGUGGGCUUAGCCUUUCGGGCGACGCCCAACUCAAUCCCGCCGCGGUGCUCUUCACUGAGUGUCGAGGUGGGCCGGCACGUUUACUUUGAACAAAUUAGAGUGCUUAAAGCAGGCUAAAAUUUCGCCUGAAUACUGUGUGCAUGGAAUAAUGGAAUAGGACCUCGGUUCUAUUUUGUUGGUUUUCGGAACCCCGAGGUAAUGAUUAAUAGGAACGGAUGGGGGCAUUCGUAUUGCGACGUUAGAGG
rnacentral:rRNA from 1 species